UUAAGCGACUAAGCGUACACGGUGGAUGCCCUGGCAGUCAGAGGCGAUGAAGGACGUGCUAAUCUGCGAUAAGCGUCGGUAAGGUGAUAUGAACCGUUAUAACCGGCGAUUUCCGAAUGGGGAAACCCAGUGUGUUUCGACACACUAUCAUUAACUGAAUCCAUAGGUUAAUGAGGCGAACCGGGGGAACUGAAACAUCUAAGUACCCCGAGGAAAAGAAAUCAACCGAGAUUCCCCCAGUAGCGGCGAGCGAACGGGGAGCAGCCCAGAGCCUGAAUCAGUGUGUGUGUUAGUGGAAGCGUCUGGAAAGGCGCGCGAUACAGGGUGACAGCCCCGUACACAAAAAUGCACAUGCUGUGAGCUCGAUGAGUAGGGCGGGACACGUGGUAUCCUGUCUGAAUAUGGGGGGACCAUCCUCCAAGGCUAAAUACUCCUGACUGACCGAUAGUGAACCAGUACCGUGAGGGAAAGGCGAAAAGAACCCCGGCGAGGGGAGUGAAAAAGAACCUGAAACCGUGUACGUACAAGCAGUGGGAGCACGCUUAGGCGUGUGACUGCGUACCUUUUGUAUAAUGGGUCAGCGACUUAUAUUCUGUAGCAAGGUUAACCGAAUAGGGGAGCCGAAGGGAAACCGAGUCUUAACUGGGCGUUAAGUUGCAGGGUAUAGACCCGAAACCCGGUGAUCUAGCCAUGGGCAGGUUGAAGGUUGGGUAACACUAACUGGAGGACCGAACCGACUAAUGUUGAAAAAUUAGCGGAUGACUUGUGGCUGGGGGUGAAAGGCCAAUCAAACCGGGAGAUAGCUGGUUCUCCCCGAAAGCUAUUUAGGUAGCGCCUCGUGAAUUCAUCUCCGGGGGUAGAGCACUGUUUCGGCAAGGGGGUCAUCCCGACUUACCAACCCGAUGCAAACUGCGAAUACCGGAGAAUGUUAUCACGGGAGACACACGGCGGGUGCUAACGUCCGUCGUGAAGAGGGAAACAACCCAGACCGCCAGCUAAGGUCCCAAAGUCAUGGUUAAGUGGGAAACGAUGUGGGAAGGCCCAGACAGCCAGGAUGUUGGCUUAGAAGCAGCCAUCAUUUAAAGAAAGCGUAAUAGCUCACUGGUCGAGUCGGCCUGCGCGGAAGAUGUAACGGGGCUAAACCAUGCACCGAAGCUGCGGCAGCGACGCUUAUGCGUUGUUGGGUAGGGGAGCGUUCUGUAAGCCUGCGAAGGUGUGCUGUGAGGCAUGCUGGAGGUAUCAGAAGUGCGAAUGCUGACAUAAGUAACGAUAAAGCGGGUGAAAAGCCCGCUCGCCGGAAGACCAAGGGUUCCUGUCCAACGUUAAUCGGGGCAGGGUGAGUCGACCCCUAAGGCGAGGCCGAAAGGCGUAGUCGAUGGGAAACAGGUUAAUAUUCCUGUACUUGGUGUUACUGCGAAGGGGGGACGGAGAAGGCUAUGUUGGCCGGGCGACGGUUGUCCCGGUUUAAGCGUGUAGGCUGGUUUUCCAGGCAAAUCCGGAAAAUCAAGGCUGAGGCGUGAUGACGAGGCACUACGGUGCUGAAGCAACAAAUGCCCUGCUUCCAGGAAAAGCCUCUAAGCAUCAGGUAACAUCAAAUCGUACCCCAAACCGACACAGGUGGUCAGGUAGAGAAUACCAAGGCGCUUGAGAGAACUCGGGUGAAGGAACUAGGCAAAAUGGUGCCGUAACUUCGGGAGAAGGCACGCUGAUAUGUAGGUGAAGUCCCUCGCGGAUGGAGCUGAAAUCAGUCGAAGAUACCAGCUGGCUGCAACUGUUUAUUAAAAACACAGCACUGUGCAAACACGAAAGUGGACGUAUACGGUGUGACGCCUGCCCGGUGCCGGAAGGUUAAUUGAUGGGGUCAGCGCAAGCGAAGCUCUUGAUCGAAGCCCCGGUAAACGGCGGCCGUAACUAUAACGGUCCUAAGGUAGCGAAAUUCCUUGUCGGGUAAGUUCCGACCUGCACGAAUGGCGUAAUGAUGGCCAGGCUGUCUCCACCCGAGACUCAGUGAAAUUGAACUCGCUGUGAAGAUGCAGUGUACCCGCGGCAAGACGGAAAGACCCCGUGAACCUUUACUAUAGCUUGACACUGAACAUUGAGCCUUGAUGUGUAGGAUAGGUGGGAGGCUUUGAAGUGUGGACGCCAGUCUGCAUGGAGCCGACCUUGAAAUACCACCCUUUAAUGUUUGAUGUUCUAACGUUGACCCGUAAUCCGGGUUGCGGACAGUGUCUGGUGGGUAGUUUGACUGGGGCGGUCUCCUCCUAAAGAGUAACGGAGGAGCACGAAGGUUGGCUAAUCCUGGUCGGACAUCAGGAGGUUAGUGCAAUGGCAUAAGCCAGCUUGACUGCGAGCGUGACGGCGCGAGCAGGUGCGAAAGCAGGUCAUAGUGAUCCGGUGGUUCUGAAUGGAAGGGCCAUCGCUCAACGGAUAAAAGGUACUCCGGGGAUAACAGGCUGAUACCGCCCAAGAGUUCAUAUCGACGGCGGUGUUUGGCACCUCGAUGUCGGCUCAUCACAUCCUGGGGCUGAAGUAGGUCCCAAGGGUAUGGCUGUUCGCCAUUUAAAGUGGUACGCGAGCUGGGUUUAGAACGUCGUGAGACAGUUCGGUCCCUAUCUGCCGUGGGCGCUGGAGAACUGAGGGGGGCUGCUCCUAGUACGAGAGGACCGGAGUGGACGCAUCACUGGUGUUCGGGUUGUCAUGCCAAUGGCACUGCCCGGUAGCUAAAUGCGGAAGAGAUAAGUGCUGAAAGCAUCUAAGCACGAAACUUGCCCCGAGAUGAGUUCUCCCUGAGACUUUAAGUCUCCUGAAGGAACGUUGAAGACGACGACGUUGAUAGGCCGGGUGUGUAAGCGCAGCGAUGCGUUGAGCUAACCGGUACUAAUGAACCGUGAGGCUUAACCU
rnacentral:rRNA from 1 species